GAUGAAGAACGUAGCGAAAUGCGAUAAGUAAUGCGAAUUGCAGAAUUCCAGUGAGUCAUCGAAUCUUUGAACGCACAUUGCGCCCUUUGGUAUUCCGCAGGGCAUGCCUGUUCGAGCGUCAUUUCAACCCUCAAGCUCUGCUUGGUGUUGGGCCCUGCCCGCUGCGGCCGGCCCUAAAGACAGUGGCGGUGCCGCCUGGCCCUGAGCGUAGUACAUCUCUCGCUCCAGUGCCCGGUGGUAGCCUGCCAGAACCCCAACUCUCGUGGUUGACCUCGGAUCAGGUAGGGAUACCCGCUGAACUUAAGCAUAUCAAUAAGCGGAGGA
rnacentral:misc_RNA from 1 species